rnacentral:rRNA from 1 species
GCACUACAACGGGUGGAGCCUGCGGUUUAAUUGGACUCAACGCCGGAAAACUCACCGGGGGCGACAGCAACAUGUAGGUCAGGCUAAAGACCUUACCUGAAUCGCUGAGAGGAGGUGCAUGGCCGUCGUCAGUUCGUACUGUGAAGCAUCCUGUUAAGUCAGGCAACGAGCGAGACCCGUGCCCACUGUUGCCAGCAUGUCCUUCGGGAUGAUGGGUACUCUGUGGGGACCGCUGGUGCUAAACCAGAGGAAGGUGCGGGCUACGGUAGGUCAGUAUGCCCCGAAUCUCCCGGGCUACACGCGGGCUACAAUGGCUGGGACAAUGGGUCCCUACACCGAAAGGUGAUGGUAAUCUCUUAAACCCAGCCGUAGUUCGAAUCGAGGACUGUAACUCGGGGGCGUGAAGCUGGAAUCCGUAGUAAUCGCGUUUCAACAUAGCGCGGUGAAUACGUCCCUGCUCCUUGCACACACCGCCCGUCAAACCACCCGAGUGAGGUAUGGGUGAGGGCACGGAUUUUGUGCCGUGUUCGAACCUAAAUUUCGCAAGGGGGGUU